AAAUUUAAUGCAUUUCUUUCAGGUUGGCAUGCAGUAGGUGCCUCACCUGGUGUCUGUCACUGCUGGUGGUGCAACAGAUUGCUCCCUGCUGAAGGAAUAACUUUGGGAUAUCUAUAUGGAUGUCCUGCUACCAUUAAGCACAAGGAGAGAAGAUUUUCAUCUAGAGAGGUAGCCAAAUUAGUCAAGGAGGUACUGUGUCACCCUGGUGAUUCAAAGGGAAUCAAACAUGGGAAAUAAUCUCAACAUUUCAGACAUAGUUUUGUGCAAGACAGAGGGACAGGAAAAAUAAUCUUGACCUUCUGUAGAAGUUUAAAUGGAAACUUAAAGAUACCAGGCAUUCCUACAGGACGGAGAGGCUGCUUUUCAAUGAAAGAAUGGCACAGAUCCUUUUGCUAACAACAAGAUUCUCCGUCUUAUUAUCUUCAUGGAAUAUUAAAGCAAUGUAACACGUUGAAACAAUAUUGCAAAGGUUAUGACUGCAAUGUCUUUGACUCUAAUUAUGCCCUGCCUAUCUCUCUUCUGCCAAAGCCUAAAGUUGCUCUCACCUCAGUAGCUCUAGUUCCCAGCCACCAGCCUCCUCCUACCAUCAGUGGAGAUAAAAUCAUGUCAUCUCACAGCACUUAAUUCUGUUCCUAGAGUGUACCUAAUGAGUGUCCUGUUUGACCAGACUCCUCCAUUACCAGUGUUGGUUUCAGGUGAGGUGAAGCCAUUAUGUUCCGUGGUUGUCUCUUUACCUCAACUACAGCUAAUCAGAAGAGGGUCAAACAGACCUUUUAAAAUACCCACACAGAAAUUACUCAGUAAAGUGAAACAUUUUCUAACACUUUCUUGCCUUUUUCUCUCCUAAAACAAUUAUUAUCAUCUCUUAAUUGAGUUGUCACAGAUUCCAAGGUGUGUUGAUUACAGCUUUACGGGUUGUCAUUUGUGCGCUAAUCAUGUCUCAAUGACUUUCUCAGCUGUCUGGACUGAAGACUUUGCCUGUUUAAAAUGUUUUGGAAUCCAUCCACUUUGGCUUUUCUCUGGAUUUUUCAUGGCAUUGAAAAAUGCAGUUGGACAUUUAUCCCACUUAUUGGAGCCCUCAAUUUUAUUUCCAUCUGGAAUCACACACCAAUACUUGUGGGGCAAUUAACUUGGCUGAGGAAACUAUUAUGGAACUGGUCCUUUGAACUUACUGAAUGUCUACUUAAUAGGGCCACGAAGACCAGCAGGAUAUGAAACAACACUUCCAUUGUCAUUCUUCCAAGCCACUACAUUGGAAAUAUUAAUGGAGAGAUUCCAAGAGUGCUCUUGAAGCUAUUGGAGCCAACGCGUGACAGCCAGAGGAAAAAGAGGAGUGGACAACGGAUUGGAGAUGUCAAGGCAGGCAUGUACAGCGAGGAGAAACAUCUGCUGAUGCUAUUGAAGAAUUGAUGGAAAGAGGAAACAAGGCUGGGCACAGACAGAUCUCCACAGUGGAGCUACAUUGGCUGAGUUUGCUGCCAAAGCGUUACAAACAAAAGGUGGAAAAGGGGAGGUGGGUAAUCCAUUAGCAUGUUCUUUGCAUUUAUCAUCUAACACGAUAGCUGGUAGAGUCUGAAUUCCUGGACAGCCUCAUCUCUGGCUGAAUGGACUAAUUGCUUCCUGCU